ensembl:lncRNA
UUCACAUUUGUAACAAGAAGAAAGCUUUGAAUUUACAAAAUGCUAGACUAUUUUUAGGUGGAAGAAAAUGAUCUCAUAUUUUGGCUUGCGUUUAGCUAAAUUGAUGCAUAGAUUUUCAGUACAGCAGAACAUACUUAAAUAGUCUGUCGGAUGCUUCUUUGUGAACGUAGCACGAAAUCUAAUUCCUGAACUGGAAAAUAAAUGAAAUGCAUAAUCUUUAUUAAAUGCUGUUAUAAGCAAACUAAGGAUGUUAGUAUGCUAUUGCUUUGUUACUUUAGAUAUAUUGAAAAGGUAACCUGGAAAAGAUACCCCUGUCUGAAUCAGUCCCAGUGCUUGAGAAGACAGAUUUGGGAACUCAUAUUAUGUCAUUCAUCUACCUUGACUUCACAAGAAUGGACACUUCUCAGUAAAGGAGAACAGAUACUUUCUGUCUAAGCCAGCAGCCACAGAAAAUGGAUGGGAUUCGUGAAAACUUCAGAGACAGUGAUGAAAACUGAUCAGAAAGCCUUGAAACAAAUUUCAUACGUGACCUGAAAUCAGAUCAAAUUUGAAGUACAGAAGGUCAAAGCCAUAUGUAAUAUCAUGUGUGGAGUUCAAUCAUUGCUGUUGCCAUUACACUCCCUUUCUGGUGGUACUUCUCAGGAGAAGAAUACUAAGGAAGAAUGUGGUAUAAGAAGAAAAUUGGUUUCCCUAACAAAAUAUGAAGUCAUUUGGUAUUCAUUGCACUGGCAAACAUUAGGAUGGAUUGAUUGAAAAUGCAUCCACUGAAAAAAAACAUGCUUCACCUCAUUAUUGGUGUAUGUCCAAUUCUAUCCAUUCUAUCAAAGUCAUCCUGCUCUAUGCCAUGCUCCAGUCACACUCCUACACAGCAACAGCCACCCAUUUUGAAAAGUACUUCUGCCUAUCUCUGAUUAGGGCAUUUCUAAUUUGUUUAAUAUCUUUUUAGUAUUAACAGACUGAGUUAGUACAAUGGAAAAUACAAUGAAAAAUAAUGCAAACAAAAAAAAAAAAGUCCGACCCCUUGACUUCUCUUUGACACUAAAAUCUAUAACCUACUCUAUAUUAACCAGCAAGAUAGAAUGGUUUUAUUUAGUGUAAAUGAAGGUAGAAUUUGGAUUGUAGUACUCCACUGAAUGUAGAAAGCUGUUCUGUUUUUUUCCCUUCACUUUCUAGUUUAUUUCUUCAGGUGAUUGAUCCCUGCAUACUACUAUUAUGCUAAAAUUCAAUAUCCUACUCUAGAAUUAUUCUCACGUGUCAUCAUCCUUCAAUAUAAAGUGGAUAAAGAAUGUGUAUUUAUUUCAUCCAAAGAUGCCUGUUCACCAUCACGAUUCAUGGCAUGCUGGAAAAGUUUCUCAUGGUCAGUGAAUUUUCUGACAAAAAUGAAUCUCUCAGACAAAAAAGAAAAGGAAGGAGUGGCUAUACAGAGAGAGAGAAAUAACCAGUAGCUAGCUUAGGAAUGUUAAUUUGUUUUUUACUGUAAAAAUGCUCUAGUAGUUAUUCUUUUCUCUCAUUUCACAUCCAGAUAAAAAAAAAGAUAUUUGAAAAUAAUAUGAAAGAGGUGUAUAAAAGCUUAGCAACAACGAACGAAUGAGAGAUACAGAGUAAUUCAACACAGCCUAAUGAUUAGGGUUCUGAUCUGGUAUGCAAAAGACUCAGUCUUAAGUCCUUGGUAUGCAUUAUUUAGCGACAGGACUCUGGUCCCUUGUGUCCCCAGUGACAUAUAAUUUCGAAACUGAUCUGAAUGGUUAUAACUGAAGUUGUCCUGAGAAGUUCUUCUGAUUUUAUAAAUAAUUGAACGUUUUUGGAGCAGCUAUUUGAACUUCAUUCUUCCUGAAUAAGUACUCUAACUAAUAGAUGGUACAGAUCCUCC